rnacentral:snRNA from 1 species
GGAUGUGAGGGCAAUCUGGCUGCGACAUCCGUCACCCAUUGAUCGCCAGGGUUGAUUAGGCUGAUCUGGCUGGCUAGGCGGGUGUCCCCUUCCUCCCUCACCACUCAUGUGCGUCCCUCACGAAGCUGUGCUCAGUGGAGGACAACCUUCCCAGAAUAGAGGAGGACGGGUCUUCUGUCAAGGAUAUAGGAGUAGCUGAGCUCCCCUGCUAGAACCUCCAAACAAGCUCUCAAAUAUUUUGUUAGGGUUACAAGAAAGUAGCUGAUACAAUUGCUCAGCCCUCUUCUUUUUUUUCUUCAAAAUUAUUUAUUUGAGAGCAAGAGAAAGAGGAAGAUAGAGAGACAGA